AUCUACUACUGUUUUCUUCUGACAGUGGAUUUUCUGCACAGCUUUAAGUAAAUGAAUUACUCAUUUACCUGUCAUAACAAUAUCCGUUAGCCCAGUAGUUAUGAACUCAAGGGUGGUUCAAUUUUCUUUUCAGAAAAAGGAGAAGCAAGGAAUUAAGUGUUCCAUGCAGGUUGAGAUUAAAGAACUGUUAGUUCUACUGAGGCCUCAAUGCUAUCUUCUGAAAUUAUACGGAACAGAAAAUACAUGCACAUUGCUUCCCCCACGUCAACAGGUCCAUCACUAACUGAGAAGCAAGGAUACCUGGUUCCAGCAUAUUUUCUGUCAGUGUCUGACGAUUGAAGGGAUCAGUGGAAGAAUUCAACAGAUGCCUCAGGAUGAUUGACCUGUCCAUAAUAGUUCCAGAUGGCAACCUCACAGGAUCAGUCAUCAGAGUGUCCAUGAGUGGAUCUGAGGACACAAUCGUCACAUUGAAAACAGAUGAAAGCUUCACCUGAACAGAGACUUACUGCACAGAACUGAUACUCAGUCUCCAAUCAGCCACAUUGCUGAAGUUACAGAAAACAGAUAAUCCCGACGCUCACUUGGGAUAGGCGGGGUCGAGGAUGCGAAGCAUCAGUUGAAUCACCAUGCCAUAGAAAUUCAGACAUCUCCUGAGAAAGUUCUCAUCCAGCAAACCAGCAUCUGCACAAGCCUUGCACCUCACCAGUUUCUGCAGA
rnacentral:lncRNA from 1 species